AUUGAACGCUGGCGGCAGGCCUAACACAUGCAAGUCGAACGAGUGGCGGACGGGUGAGUAAUGUCUGGGAAACUGCCCGAUGGAGGGGGAUAACUACUGGAAACGGUAGCUAAUACCGCAUACCAUCUGAUGUGCCCCUAUGGGAUUAGCUUGUAGGUGAGGUAACGGCUCACCUAGGCGACGCGCCCUAGCUGGUCUGCAAGGAGGACCAGCCAAACUGGAACUGAGCACCGGUCCAGACUCCUACGGGAGGCAGCAGUGGGGAAUAUUGCACAAUGGGCGCAAGCCGUAUGCAGCCAUGCCGCGGGUAUGAAGAAGGCCUUCGGGUUGUAAAGUACUUUCAGCGUGGAGGCGUUACCCGCAGAAGAAGCACCGGCUAACUCCGUGCCAGCAGCCGCGGUAAUAC
rnacentral:rRNA from 1 species